GUCCACGCCGUAAACGAUGGAUGCUAGAUGUGGUGGGUAUUGACCCCCGCCGUGUCGAAGCUAACGCGUUAAGCAUCCCGCCUGGGGAGUACGGCCGCAAGGCUAAAACUCAAAGGAAUUGACGGGGGCCCCGCACAAGCGGUGGAGCAUGUGGUUCAAUUCGACGCAACGCGCAGAACCUUACCUGGGUUAAAUCCGCCAGAAUCCCGCAGAGAUGUAGGAGUGCUCGCAAGAGAGCUGGUGAGAAGGUGCUGCAUGGCUGUCGU
rnacentral:rRNA from 1 species